UACAGAGGUCUCAAGCGUUGUUCGGAUUCAUUGGGCGUAAAGGGUGCGUAGGUGGCGCUGUAAGUCAGGUGUGAAAUUUCGGAGCUCAACUCCGAAACUGCAUUUGAUACUGCGGUGCUUGAGGACUGGAGAGGAGACUGGAAUUCACGGUGUAGCAGCGAAAUGCGUAGAUAUCGUGAGGAAGACCAGUGGCGAAGGCGGGUCUCUGGACAGUUCCUGACACUGAGGCACGAAGGCCAGGGGAGCAAACGGG
rnacentral:rRNA from 1 species